CAAGCUGUAAUCUCAGUUUGCUCCUAGUCAACCGCUCCUAGCAGUUCUUCCUAGGAACACCGCUGUCAACUGACCGGUCCGCGCUGUGUGAAAGUUCCAACAGCAGCAAGAGUUAAGAGUAUUUCAAAAGAGGAAACGCCGGGCCACUCCGUUGGGCCGCUACAACGCUGCACCGUCAAAGAAGGACAUCUGGGGUUAUUGAAGAGGAGACAGUUGGCAGGACCGGGAGUCCUAACCGCCGAGGACUAAAGGUUCCUGGAUGAGAAGAAAAGAACCGGGCGUGUUCGCACUAAAGAACCAUGUUCAAGGUCUCCACCAAACGUGAGGAGGGCGCAUCUGAAGACAUAAGGGGACUGAACAGGAGCACCAGCAAGAGACUGAACAGGAGCAAGAUAUUGAAGUGGAGCACUAGCAAGAGACUGAGGAGAAACACUUAGGACUUAGGGUUGAAAGGGAGGAAGAGAGUCCCAGUGAGAAGGACAGUUCAGAUAGUGAAAGUGAAGCUGCUUCUUCAGAUAGUGGAGAUGAAGAUAGUGGAGAAUUCAAGUGUUGUAAUUGUAACCUUAAUCAUAAUGCAUUGCUAGGAAUAGUAUGAUUUUUGUUUACCAUAAGAGGCUUCUUUUUUGUGCUUGCAAAGAUGUAAGUUAGAGUUAGUUAUGAUGCAGAACAGUAGUGAUGUAAAGUAAAUGUAAUGUGUGGAAAUAGGCAUGCUGAUGUCCGUGUAUUUUAUAGCAUUAAAAACAAAUUCAUGUGUGCAACUGACGAAUCUUCGCAUCCGUGUCAAAUACAGGAGAAUUCAGCCUCGGAUUUGUGUAGAAUACGCGAAAAUCCUGAUUUCGUAUCUGCAUAUUCGUAACAAAUACGGGAGAAUUCAGGUUUCGGAUUCGUGAGGGAUACGGGAAAAUCCUGAUUUCGUAUCUGCACAUUCGCAGCAAAUACGGACGGAUUCAGGUUUCGGAUUCGUGAGGGAUACG